CGUGUAGGCGGGUGCGCAAGUCCGGUGUGAAAGCCCCCGGCUCAACUGGGGAAUGCCACUGGAAACUGCGUGCCUUGAGUGCAGGAGGGGAGAGCGGAACUCUUGGUGGAGCGGUGAAAUGCGUAGAUAUCAAGAGGAACGCCGGCGGCGAAAGCGGCUCUCUGGCCUGUUACUGACGCUGAGGCGCGAAAGCCAGGGGAGCGAACG
rnacentral:rRNA from 1 species